GUGCCAUGUCAUUCUGCACACCUGCUCCAGGCUACUUGUGGGCAAAGUUCAAAAGUAUGGCUAACCUUCUGGGGACAGUUCCCUCACCCUACCCAGGACCUUUGAAGAAGAGAAAGACAACACCAGAUGUGAGGAGGAAGGAAGCCCUCCCUGCCCUGUGCCCAGGGGCCUCCGCUCCCUCCACCCAUUGAAGUGUCUGCAGCUGCUCCUACUGCUCUCCUUGGUCGACCUUUCCAGACCUGCUGGCUCUCGAUCUACCAUUUGCAACACUGAGCGCUCUUGUCAUUGUACAUCUCAGGUCUGUCUUCGCUACUGGACUGUGAACUCCGAGACACACCUGUGUGUCUCAUCCACUGCCGCAUUCCUGUCGCUACCGUGGUGCCUGGCACCUGGUGAGCACGCAGGUGGGAGGACAACAGCUUAGACAGAUUCGUCUGUUUUACCACAUGGCUCUCCGGCAUGCACUCUGUUCGGCCCCAAGCUUGCAGCAGCAGGAAAAAAGGCUUCCUCCCUCGCCUCACCCAGGGGCAGCUGGGAUCUGCGGGGAGGUGUAUCAUAUCAAUUCAUGUAAAGGAGAGAUGCAUAGUACCAACAGAGAGCGCAGAAGAAGGUCAUGUGAUGAGUAUCUCUCUGUACCUCUCCUUCGUUGGUCGCCUGUCGCACCUCUGUGGCAUUCCUGUCCGGCUUGAUAUAAACUCUCGCUGCCUCUACCAGUCUCCGUAUCCUGCUUCAUCUCGAACUGUACUUUUUCGGCUCCCUAAAAGGUCUUCAUUACUUCCUCAGCUCUCAGCAGACCCUGCUCUCAGACCUACAUUGUGGAAGCCGGGACAGCAUUGA
rnacentral:lncRNA from 1 species